AUACGUAGGGAGCGAGCGUUGUCCGGAAUUACUGGGUGUAAAGGGAGCGUAGGCGGGAGUGCAAGUCAGGUGUGAAAUACAUGGGCUCAACCCAUGGGCUGCGUUUGGAAAUGCCUUUCUUGAGGGCAGUGGAGGUAACCGGAAUUUAUGGUGUAGCGGUUAAAUGUGUUGAUAGCAGGAGGAACACCGGUGGCGUAGGCGGCUUACUGGGCUUUUACUGACGCUGAGGCUCGAAAGCGUGGGGAGCAAACAGGAUUAGAUACCCUGGUAGUCCACGCUGUAAACGAUGAUUACUAGGUGUGGGGGGACUGACCCCUUCCGUGCCGCAGUUAACACAAUAAGUAAUCCCCCUGGGGAGUACGGUCGCAAGGUUGAAACUCAAAUGAAUUGACGGGG
rnacentral:rRNA from 1 species